CAAAAGUAUAAAAAGAGAUUAUUAUGAAUAAAUUGCUAUAAACCAAAGAAUUUACUAAGAGAAAUCUUAUAAAUAAACAAGGUGAACGGAAAAAUCUAAAUAACCUUAGGAAAAUAAAUCAAACGAGAUUCUACAUAUAAUGAGAAGUAAGGUAGAAUAGCCUGUAAUAAAAAUAAGUAAAAUGGAAUAUCUGUUUGAAUAAAGGGGAACCUUCCUCUAAGGCUAAAUAUGGUAUUAUACGCAAUAGUGAAUAGUCCCGUGAGGGAAUUUAUUUAAUAGUAAUUUUAUAAGCAGCUCAAGUGAAAUUUAAAUAAAUAACAAGAGCGUACCUUUUGCAUAAUGGGUCAGCAAGUUAAUUUUAGAUGCAAGAAUAAAUAUUACAUUAAAUUAAUGUAAUAAAGUUCCUAGAGAAAUCGAUUAUGAAAAAAUGAGAAAGUAUCUAAAAUUAGACCCGGAGGCUAGUGAUCUUACCAUUAUCAGGAUUAUAAAGGUCCGAACAGGUUAUCGUUGUAAAGAUAUCUGAAGAAUAGUGGUAAGUUAGUGAAAGACAAAACUGACUAGCUGAGCUGGUUUUCCGCGAAACCUAUAUUAGUAGGUAGUUUAAGUAACAUCUUAGCAGGUACAGAACUGUGAUCUCGGUCAAAAUAUUUAUUUUGUUAAAGCAAAAUAAAUUUGUAUAUAUCGGGGAAUCGUGAAGAUUUUAUCGGAGAGUAUUUGCACUCGGAAGGGUUAAGAUGAAUAUUAAAAAAUCGGACAUAGUACGAUAAGGUUGUAUGUCAAAAGGGAAACAGCCCAGAACAAGAGUUAAUAAGGUUCCAAAAUUAUUAUUAAGUGAAAUUAAGGAUGUAUCUUUGAAUACGAUCAAUUAAUAGGCUUGGAAGCGGCCAUUUUUUAAUGAUCUCGUAACAGAGCAUUGAUUUUUAAGAAGAUCACACCGAAAAUAUAACGGAUCUAAAUAAUAUACCGAAACCUUGUCCAUAUAUAGUUUUAUAUAAAAAAUAUAUAUGGGGUAGCGGAACAUUGGAUAAAUUUAAGACUUAUUCUUUUUAAGAUUAAAAAAUUAAAUAAUCCAAGCGAUAAUGCUGACAUGAGUAACGAAAAAGAUAAAUCUCGCCUUAAGCUUAUGGUAUUUAAUUAAAACGGCUUCUAAGCAUAAUUAAUUUUUUUAAAUAAUGCGAUGAAAUUUUUAACAAAACUAAUUAAAGUUAAAUUAGUUCAGGAAAAUAAAAACAACCGUACCUAGAUACUAACACAAGUAAGCUAGUAGAGUAUACGAAGGCGUUUGAGCAAACAAUCAUUAAGGAACUCGGCAAAUUGACUCACGUAACUUCGGGAUAAGGUGUACCAUUCCUAUCAAGUAUAAGCAUAUAUUGUUAAAAGUAAACAGGUUUAAACCUGUUUAUUUUAAUAUAUGUUUAAACCUAGGAAGAGGAAGCAUGGAAUAGUGUUGUACGACUGUUUAUUUAAAACAGAGCACUCUGCUAAGAUAAAAAUCGAAAUAUUGAGUGUGAUGUCUGCCCGGUGUCGGCUGGGUAACAGAUUUGCUUAAAAUUAAAAAGUUAGGCUUUGAAGAAAACCCCGACAAACGGCGGCCUUACCUAUGAGGGUCCUAAGGUAGCGGAAUACCCUGGCCGUUAAAUGCGGUCUUGCAUGAAUGAUGUAACGAUACAACAGCUGUCUCGAUGAUUGGCUCAGUGAAAUUGGAAUAGCAGUGCAGAUACUGCUUACCUCUAGAUAGACGAGAAGACCCUUUGCAGCUUUACUGUUACUAAUUUUGAUUGAAAUAUGAGAAUUCCAAGUGUAUAAGGUAGUUACCUUUAAAAAUUUAAUUUUUUAAAGGCUUUUAACAACCAUGAGACACCUUUAUUUACUCUAUUUCAUUCGAUUGAUUGGAAGACAGUUUAUGCGGGGCACAGAUCCCAUAAAAAGUACCUGGGUAUAUCCAAAAUUCUAUUAGUAAAAUUAGCACGUUAAGUGCUAAAAUAAUACGGAAUAUAUUCCGUAUUAUUUUAUUUUUAAUUUGUUAUUUAUUAUUUAUAAUUUAUUCAGUUACUAUUAUUUUAAAUAUAUUUAUAUUUUUUAUUUAAGUAAGAUUUUGACUAUAUGGUGAAUAGUUGUAUAAAAAAUUUUAAAAAAAUUAGAAUUUUUUAAUUGUAGUAUGUAAAUACUAUGAUAUUUAAUUAUACUGUUAAAGUUUAAUGGCUUAAUCUUGCUUUACUGUUAGACCUACAAGUCCAUCAGUCGCGUAAGCGGGGCAUAAGAUCGCAAGAUACUGAAAGGAAAGGUCUUGUAUUUUUGAAAAAGUUACGCUAGGGAUUUUUUUAUUAGUCCCCCAAUAUUUAUAAAUAUUGGUAAUUAUGUG
rnacentral:rRNA from 1 species